AACGAACGCUGGCGGCAUGCCUAACACAUGCAAGUCGAACGAGACCUUCGGGUCUAGUGGCGCACGGGUGCGUAACGCGUGGGAAUCUGCCCUUGGGUUCGGAAUAACAGUUAGAAAUGACUGCUAAUACCGGAUGAUGACGUAAGUCCAAAGAUUUAUCGCCCAAGGAUGAGCCCGCGUAGGAUUAGCUAGUUGGUAAGGUAAAGGCUUACCAAGGCGACGAUCCUUAGCUGGUCUGAGAGGAUGAUCAGCCACACUGGGACUGAGACACGGCCCAGGCUCCUACGGGAGGCAGCAGUGGGGAAUAUUGGACAAUGGGCGAAAGCCUGAUCCAGCAAUGCCGCGUGAGUGAUGAAGGCCUUAGGGUUGUAAAGCUCUUUUACCAGGGAUGAUAAUGACAGUACCUGGAGAAUAAGCUCCGGCUAACUCCGUGCCAGCCGCCGCGGUAAGAC
rnacentral:rRNA from 1 species